rfam:Colius striatus contig26225, whole genome shotgun sequence.
GCACAGGUGAAUUCUGCACAGCUUUGCUCUGUAGCUGGUGCAGUCAGACACUGUGCCAGAGCAAGGUCCUUCCUCACGGGCCGGGUGCCUUUUCCUUGGGAAGGGGCAUUG